GCCCGCCAACUGUAUUUACUGGAAAAAAAACCCUACAAAACAAACAAAAAAACCCCUAUAAAUAGACGCGGCAGUUCAAACCAGUUUUGUUCAAGGGUCAACUGCAGUUACAGAUUCGACUUUCUGACAGGGAAAAAAGUUGGAGUCGCUCAGAAUUUUCAUGGUGUUGAGAUAAUGUUUGUGGAUGAACACACAGGAUUCUUAUUUCAGGUCACAGUUUAAAGAUGACCUCCAGGAGGCUUUUCCUGAUUACCCCAUCUAAAGUGGUGCUUUUGUGUCUUGUUUUUCCCAAUGUCUUGAAGAAAUCAGGUAG